AUCCUCUCAGGGUUGCACCUGGAGAGUUUCCAGUACUCUACCAGUCUCGACUACAGGAGGGAGAGUCAAGCAGAUGCAUACCCAUUCCAUUCCUAGCUUGGCCAGUGGCUAGCGAGUGGAAGACAAUCUGCUACAAGU
rnacentral:snoRNA from 2 species